GGCGGGUUAAUGGGUGGAUCGGGUCGACCCGAAUACAAAGAUUCGGAUUCUACAACUUGCUUCACCAACCAUUGCCACGUGGCACAAUCAUGGCCAUUGAAUCAUGAACGGUUGAGAUUUAGUCAAAAUUGCCAGCUAUCCCAUGCACUCAUAUCUAUUGUAAGCUCAUUUCAUCAUCCAAUCAGUGCUCGGUCAAUAGGAAAAGUCAACUUUUUUUACACAAGCCCAAUUUUAAGUCGAUCUUGACUGAUCUUAAGGUUUUC
rnacentral:lncRNA from 1 species